rnacentral:rRNA from 1 species
AGCGUAGGCGGACUUUUAAGUGAGAUGUGAAAUACCCGGGCUCAACUUGGGUGCUGCAUUUCAAACUGGAAGUCUAGAGUGCAGGAGAGGAGAAUGGAAUUCCUAGUGUAGCGGUGAAAUGCGUAGAGAUUAGGAAGAACACCAGUGGCGAAGGCGAUUCUCUGGACUGUAACUGACGCUGAGGCUCGAAAGCGUGGGAGCAAACA